rnacentral:tRNA from 1 species
GCCCCCAUAGCUCAGUGGAUAGAGCGUUCGCCUCCGGAGCGAAAGGUCGUGGGUUCGAUUCCCCCUGGGGGCACCA